UACGUAGGGAGCGAGCGUUGUCCGGAAUUACUGGGCGUAAAGGGCGUGUAGGCGGAGAUCUAAGCAGGGUGUGAAAACUAUGGGCUCAACCCGUAGCCUGCAUUCUGAACUGGAUCCCUUGAGGGCAGGAGAGGAAAGUGGAAUUCCUAGUGUAGCGGUGAAAUGCGUAGAUAUUAGGAGGAACACCAGUGGCGAAGGCGACUUUCUGGACUGUACCUGACGCUGAGGCGCGAAAGCGUGGGGAG
rnacentral:rRNA from 1 species